rnacentral:rRNA from 1 species
GACAGAGGGGGCAAGCGUUGCUCAGAAUUACUGGGCGUAAAGGGCGCGUAGGCGGGAUGGCAAGUCGGUCGUGAAAUCCCUCGGCUCAACUGAGGAUCGUCGAUCGAUACUGCCGUUCUUGAGGAUUGCAGAGGAGACUGGAAUUCCCGGUGUAGCGGUGAAAUGUGUAGAGAUCGGGAGGAACACCGGUGGCGAAGGCGGGUCUCUGGGCAAUUCCUGACGCUGAGGCACGAAGGCCAGGGGAGCAAACGGG